rnacentral:lncRNA from 1 species
AGAGUAGAUUCUCCAUAAAAGGAAAACCCAUAUACCAUUUUGUUGGUACCUCAACAUUCAGUGAAUACACAGUUCUCCAUGCUGGAUGUGUUGCAAAGAUCAACCCUGCUGCCCCACUUGACAAAGUUUGUAUUCUCAGUUGUGGAAUAUGCACAGGUUUUGGUGCUACUGUCAAUGUUGCAAAACCAAAACCUGGUUCUUCUGUUGCCAUCUUUGGACUUGGAGCUGUUGGCCUUGCUGUAUGUUCCCCUUAUGCCUUUUGCUUUUGUGUGUGCAUAUGUUAUACUUAUACUUUUUACAGCAACUUAUAAAGGCUAAUAUUGACUUGAAAUUUAGGCUGCGGAAGGGGCAAGGAUUUCUGGUGCAUCAAGAAUCAUUGGGGUUGAUUUAGUUUCCAGCCGAUUUGAAGGAGGUAAAAUGUUUUCUUCUUCUUCCAUACAAAAUGCUUGAAGAUUCAGCUCAACAUAAAUGAAGUGGAUAUUCAAUUCUUGAUUGUAUUUCUGGUUUUAUUCUUGUUGGCAGCCAAGAAGUUUGGAGUCAAUGAGUUCGUGAACCCAAAAGAUCACGACAAACCUGUACAAGAGGUUAAUUCAUUGAAAAUUUCAUAUUAUGUUAUAUUUACGUUGACUUAAAGCUAUGCUUUUCCAACUUAUACUUUCACAUUCUGAUGCUAUGAAUUAAAAAUGUGAAUGCUGGUGUGCAGGUAAUUGCUGAAAUGACCAAUGGAGGUGUGGAUCGUGCUGUUGAAUGCACUGGCAGCAUCCAGGCCAUGAUCUCUGCAUUUGAAUGUGUCCAUGAUGUAUGCGAAAGCAGAACUCUUUUAUUCUAUGUUGCUGAAGAGUUCCUAUAAACCAAGGCCUAAUCUUGAUUGAUUUCUUCUUCUUUUUCACAGGGUUGGGGUGUUGCUGUACUUGUUGGAGUGCCAAACAAAGAUGAUGCAUUCAAAACUCAUCCUGUGAAUUUCUUGAAUGAGAGGACUCUUAAGGGCACCUUCUAUGGCAACUACAAACCCCGCACUGAUCUUCCUAAUGUUGUAGAGAUGUACAUGAGAGGGGUAAUUAAGCUUAUAAAAUGAUUUUCCUAAAGUCAUUCAAGUAGAACUAGUACAAUUUUGUUGCUAAGCAUCUUAUGGUGAUACUUUUGCAGGAACUUGAACUGGAGAAAUUCAUCACCCACACAGUUUCGUUCUCUGAGAUUAACAAAGCUUUUGAUUACAUGCUGAAAGGAGAGUCCAUCAGAUGCAUCAUCCGCAUGGAGGAGUAAAACCCAAAAACAAUGAUGUGUGAGUCCCUAUUUGGGGACUGAGUUCUCUUUCUGGUUGUGAAAGAAAAAAGGCAUAUAUAAAUAAUCCCUUAGGAGGAUUAUGAAAUUUGUGAUGUUUGAAUGUAUAGAAUGGCAGGGCCUUUGCUUCUGGGCUUGUCUAAUACAGAAUAAAUAAAAUGUGGCUUUUUUCAAUUUGCUGCUGUUCUAGUUAAUAAUUUAUUUUCAUCAUUCUAAAGUUAAAACGUUGUCUGAGGUUAAUAAUCUAAAGUUAAACGGAGAGCUUCGUUUUGACUAUUUGUAAGGUUAAUAAUCUAAGAACUGGUGCUGUCUUUGAUAUUUAGGAGUCUAGGAGCUUGUGUGAAAGUUUGUAAAUUGCAUUUGAAGAUGUUUAUAAGGGUGAAGUCUGGAUAGCUUUAUGCAACAAGAUGGGGAAUAUUUUAAGAUGCAAUUAGAUUAAAUGUAUACUUCAAUCAUCCAAGGAUUGGCACAGGAACAUUACAGUUCUAGUAUCUUUGUUUAGCAUAAACAUUGGUUCCACAGAUGAAUUCUCAAGUUAAAAGGGAUCAGUGCUUAUAAUGUUUAAAGUUGAAUUUGAAAACAACAUCAAUUAAUACAAAGACUAAAUGUAGCUAUAUGUUACCAGCUUUGAUGUUAAUUUGCUCCAUCUUUUGGUAGCAAAUAUGAGAAGAGAAUUUCGUUCCACAUAUCAGGAACACCAGGUAGACACCAAUGACUGCAAUCUGGCACAGAUGGCUUGUCACUCCAUGUACCCACAUGUCCAUCACUCCUAUAUGCUCCCAUGGGUGUAACAUGCAGAACUGUCACAGGAACAGUCAUUUUUUUUCACAACUCUGUUGAUCAUGUCUGAAAUUGGACUCUUGUCCCUGCCAUUUGUUCUCUUCCAAGGCCUUCGGGCCACCUUGCAAGCGUGGCGGUUCUGUCCACUGCCACAAAGAUAAGCAUAUUAAUAGCAUGUUUGACUAACUUCUCUUUCCACAGAAUCAAUUUUGAAAUCCAAAAGCUAUUCACAUAAGUUUCUCACUAGAAUUGAUUCUUAAUUGCAGAAAGAUUUCCAAACAUGCUAUAAGCCUUAACUCUUAUAGUUCACACUUUGCGCCUACCAUUAAGUUUGAUGGCCCUUGUGUUGCCAAGAGAAUAGAGAAAUAAACCCUUAAUUUGGUUAUGUUUAGUCAUUGUCUCAUCUAUAAACUUGCAAAACAAAUAGAUAAAAAUGGUGUUAAAACUUACCUCCAGUGAGAUGAUUCAAAGGUACGGAAGAAUACUCUUGUCCUGUUUGUGUUAAUUGUAUUCUCUACCCAAGAGGCCCAGGUGAGUAAAGCUGUGUUGAAAGCAGAAUUAAUUGGCAUUCCAAGCUUCAGUGAGUUACCAACCUGAAAGUACCAGCCCCUGGCUGAAGAGCAUGUUAGUAGCAAUAGUAGACAUUCUUCAAGAAAAGUUUAGGCUAGUCAUGUAGGGAAAACUAACACAUAUAUUAGUUAUACAUGAAUAUCCAAACAUUUUCACGUCUGGCUAACUCCGUGGAUGUUUGGAUACACGGUGCAAAAUCAACGUUAAGCCAAAAUCAUGGUGGAACGCCACAAAAACUAAGGACUCACAGUUUCUUCCACAAACAAAUACAAAUUCAUUACCAGCUCACUCAUCAAAUCAUUUUCUCAGUUCAUCUUAAUUUGUGAAAGCUAGCUAUGUCGAGCACAGAUGGUCAGGUCAUCAAAUGCAGAGGUCAGUGACACAAUCAUCAUCCACUCUAAUCUUUCCUUCUGUUCUGUUUUGAUCUAUCUAUCUAUCUGCUACCUGCUCUAUUUCUAGUUUACUUAUUUUACUUUAUAGGCAUUGAUUUUUCGGGUUUACACUAAAACUAACUAUUAUCAUCAUUCAUCAAUAUCUAAUCUUCUAACUAAUCUAAUUUCUGGAUGGGACAUAUUCUUCACACUUUUUAUGGCUAAUUAAACUCCAUUUAGCUUCAAAUGUUGAACAAAGUUUUGAUCUAUUUAGCUGAUUUUUCUUCUGUAUCCAGAAAAUUUUAAUUCCCUUUUUUCUGAUCCUUCUGAGUAAAUAAAGAAAAUUGUAAAUUCUGUUAGUUAACUGUUUCUGAUCCUUCUGUAUUGCUAAUGGAAUGAAUGAAUGUCCUGUUUUGAAAUGUACUAGCUGCGGUUUCAUGGGAGGCGGGGAAGCCGCUUGUGAUUGAAGAAGUGGAGGUGGCGCCACCGCAAGCCGGAGAAGUGCGUCUCAAGAUACUCUACACAUCCCUCUGCCACACUGAUGUUUACUUCUGGGAAGCUAAGGUAACAAACAACACACUUGCAUUACUCACUCAACAUUCUGUUUAUAUUUAGCUCAAGUUUAACAUAGAUCUUCAUUUUCCCAUUGUUUCAGGGUCAGACUCCAUUGUUUCCUCGUAUAUUUGGUCAUGAAGCUGGAGGGUAUGUUUCUCUUUUGAAUAUAACACUUGUGCACACAAUUAAUGAUUAUAAAUCCUUGCCUUUUUGAUAAAUUUGGUUCAUAUUUCUUAAGUUUAUAUGGUUUCAACAUGGAAUGCUUUUGGUUAAACCUUACUAAUAAUGUUGUUAUGAUGUUAUUCAGCAUUGUGGAGAGUGUAGGCGAAGGUGUUACUCAUCUGAAACCAGGGGACCAUGCUCUCCCAGUAUUCACAGGAGAAUGUGGUGAAUGCCCACAUUGCAAAUCAGAGGAGAGCAACAUGUGUGAUCUUCUUAGGAUCAACACUGAUAGGGGUGUCAUGAUCAGUGACAACCAGAGUAGAUUCUCCAUAAAAGGAAAACCCAUAUACCAUUUUGUUGGUACCUCAACAUUCAGUGAAUACACAGUUCUUCAUGCUGGAUGUGUUGCAAAGAUCAACCCUGCUGCCCCACUUGACAAAGUUUGUAUUCUCAGUUGUGGAAUAUGCACAGGUUUUGGUGCCACUGUCAAUGUUGCAAAACCAAAAC